rnacentral:rRNA from 1 species
AUGGUGGCGCUUGGCGGCAGUGAAGCUCCAGGGCAGCGCGAGGACGAUGGGUGCGGGCACGAGAACGAGGUAGGGCUCGGGAGAGGGAGGCCGUGGCACAGGAAGGCAACGCGGAGCAGAGGCACGGAGUGGGGUGAGGAGAUCGGGCGCGGACGCGAGAGGAUUUGCGGUCUGCAUGCAGUUCCUGUGGGUGGCGGCGCGAGGAAGAUGGAGAUCGAGGAGAUGGAUCGAUGGGGAUGGGGUUCGAGCGUGGCUGGGCCUAGGGUUAAGCAGCGGAGGCUAGCUGGGCCUUGGCCUUGGGCCGGCGCGAGGAAGAGAGUCCCAGGCUUCUGGGCUGAACAUUGA